CAUAACAUAUACUUCGUGUAGCUAGGUAUACAUUAAUAUACUUUGCAUGGUUAGCCAUGUGAUGGCUAAUACUUCACGUAGCUAGCAAUCAUUUUUCCUUUUUUAAUCUAAGGGCUAUAGAUAAAUAUUGUGGUUAUCCUCUAACUUCUUUUUCAUUGGCUGUUUUUUUAAUAGAAGGAUAACCAAUUCUUAACUAUAUUUGAUCUAAUGGUCUAAAAAUAAUUAUUUUCUUCACUGUCUCUCUCUUUUUUCCAAGUUUCACGCUUCUUCUCCUCUUCUCUUUCAAGUUCUUCACAGUCUCAGAUCUUCAUCUCUCUCACUUCAUGUCUUGUAAACGAGAGAGAUUCAUCAUCAUCACUUUGCUGUCGCCACGGAUCUUAAGCUCGUCGUCGUCAUCAUCUACACUCGCCGCCGUCAUCCUUGUUGCCGCUUCUCAGAUCCGGAAACAUAUCAUGUCUUUCCAGAUUCAGAAAUAAAGAGUGAUAAACAGAGAUAGAGAAGACAGAGCGCCGGAGAUAGAUGAAAAAGGUGACGGCGGUGGCCUGAGAAUCUGGUGGUCGCGAGCAGAGUGGUGGUUGAGUGCGGUGGAGGAAUAUGAAGAAGGCUCGACGGCGGCGUUAAGUUUAGGUUUAGGUUUAGUUUUGGUUUAGGUAUAAGUUUGGUUUAGUUUUGGUUUAAUAUUUUUGUUGUAAACCAAUUUAAUUAUAAAUCAUUUUAUUUAAUAAAAAAAAUUAAAUAUAUAAACGAGUUUAAAUUUAA